ACUCCUACGGGAGGCAGCAGUGGGGGAUAUUGCACAAUGGGCGAAAGCCUGAUGCAGCGAUGCCGCGUGGAGGAAGAAGGUCUUCGGAUUGUAAACUCCUGUCUUUAGGGACGAUAAUGACGGUACCUAAGGAGG
rnacentral:rRNA from 1 species